CAGAGGUCCCGAGCGUUGUUCGGAUUCACUGGGCGUAAAGGGUGCGUAGGUGGCGAGGUAAGUCGGAUGUGAAAUCUCGGAGCUCAACUCCGAAAUGGCAUUGGAAACUACCUUGCUCGAGGGUUGGAGGGGGACGUGGAAUACUUGGUGUAGCAGUGAAAUGCGUAGAUAUCAAGUGGAACACCAGUGGCGAAGGCGAGUCCCUGGACAACUCCUGACACUGAGGCACGAAAGACUAGGGGAGGCAAACAGGAUUAGAUACCCUGGUAGUCCUAGCCGUAAACGGUGCAUGUUUGCUGUAAAAGGAUUCGACCCCUUUUGUGGCGUAGCCAACGCGUUAACAUGCCGCCUGGGAAGUACGGUCGCAAGGUU
rnacentral:rRNA from 1 species